GAUGAACGCUAGCGGCAGGCCUAAUGCAUGCAAGACGAACGGUAAGUUGAGUAGCAAUACUUGACCUAGAGUGUCGUACGGGUGCGUAACACGUAUGCAACCUACCCAUAACAGGAGGAUAGCUCCCGAAAGGGGAAUUAACCCUCCAUAGUAAUAUUGAAUGGCAUCAUUUGGUAUUUAAAACUCCGGUGGUUAUGGAUGGGCAUGCGUCUGAUUAGUUAGUUGGCGGGGUAACGGCCCACCAAGGCGAUGAUCAGUAGGGGAACUGAGAGGUUGAUCCCCCACACUGGCACUGAGAUACGGGCCAGACUCCUACGGGAGGCAGCAGUAGGGAAUAUUGGUCAAUGGAUGGAAGUCUGAACCAGCCAUGCCGCGUGCAGGAAGAAGGCCUUAUGGGUUGUAAACUGCUUUUGCCAGGGGAUAAAAUAGCUGUGCGCAGCGAAUUGCAGGUACCUGGUGAAUAAGCCACGGCUAACUACGUGCCAGCAGCCGCGGUAAUACGUAGGUGGCAAGCGUUGUCCGGAUUUAUUGGGUUUAAAGGGUGCGUAGGCGGCCCUGUAAGUCAGUGGUGAAAUACUCCAGCUUAACUGGAGGGGUGCCAUUGAUACUGCAGGGCUUGAGUGGAGUAGAGGUAGGCGGAAUUGACGGUGUAGCGGUGAAAUGCUUAGAUAUCGUCAAGAACACCGAUAGUGAAGACAGCUUACUAUGCUUCAACUGACGCUGAGGCACGAAAGUGUGGGGAUCAAACAGGAUUAGAUACCCUGGUAGUCCACACUGUAAACGUUGAUGACUCGCUGUUGGCGAUACACAGCCAGCGGCCAAGCGCAAGCGAUAAGUCAUCCACCUGGGGAGUACGCCGGCAACGGUG
rnacentral:rRNA from 1 species